AAGAUCAUUCUCCUCGCCAUUAAACGGCCCAUUCUGUGGCACGAAAGUCCAAGUUCCAGUAGUAUAACCCGCGUUAUGGCGCGACAGGCCACAGUCUCCGUUAUGGCUGCAACGUGAAAAGGAAGGAAUGGAAAAAAAGAAAGGUAAAAAGGGAAGAAUGGAGGAAAGAGUAUGGCGGUUGGCCACGAGUCGUUAAAGUUUCGCAAGAUAAACGACGAGUGGCAGCAAGCUAGAGGACGAGUGAUAUUACGCGCGAAAAGGCGCUCGAGCUUGCACGACCUAGAAAUGGUUUACCGUCUACGUCAAUGCCGAGCAACGGAGAAUAAGGUUUAAACGGGAUAGUAGGCAGCCACUUUAAGGCUGGCGAUAAAAAAACAGAUCGACCGACCGACCCGUCUUCCUGCCUCGAGAGCGGUGGCGAGUGUUAUUUUAGAAUUAAGGGCAACUGCCGACGCGGCAAUCGUACACAAGGCCGAUACACAAUCGGAAAAACAACGUUUGUCGAUGAUGAGUCUGGUUCCGAGAGGAAAUUAUUGUUCCAGGUGUCCGCCGUUCCAAAUAACAGCGAUGACCGACAUUUGAUACGACGUUUCGUUGGAUCGCUGUCUUGGGGAGAACGCAAGAGAGAAAUAUGAUAAAUACACUUUUAUUGAUUUUCUGGCUUUGAUGUUGGUACAUGAUUAAACAACUUUAAUACGACACAAUUGAAAACAAUCUGUUCGGUCCAAAGAUACGUGUCUUAAAAGUAACUGAUAGGUUGAUGCUUCGUGGAAGCUAAAUAAUAUAGAACAAACGAUGGCGCUAGGAAUUACAAGAAGACAUUUUCCACAUGAAUUCGUCGUCACUGAAGGAAACAGUCAGCAAAAUUGAAUUAACGAUCGUCGACGGUAAGCACGGAAGACAAUUUACAGGGGACUUUUUGCUCGAAGACUUUCGAUUUAUGGGGUACGAGUUUCACCUCGUUCUCAGAAGGUAAUGAGCUGGAAUCUUAAAGACGUAACGAUAGAACGUUCAAAUGAGUGCAAAAGUUUAAGCGAGUCACUAUCAAUUUUAUAGAACUUUACAAGUCGAGCAUAAAUCGUUCAGAUUCGUUUACAUUCGAUUCGUGUUCGUUUACAUUUAAAUUGGCCACUGUUUAUACAGUUACAUGAUAUAGUUCAACUAUGUAGAAUACGAUAUUACUU